ACCAAAAUCACCACCUAGACCUAGCCGCCGCCGCCGCCACCAGGCACCACCACCGUCCUCUUGGCCGAUUCGGUGGCGCCGCUGCCCCUCCCACCCCCGGUGGCACCUCCUGAAGCUCCCGUCCAGCUGCGCCUCCCCACCGUCCGCAGUCCAAGGUACCGCCCGGCUGUCCGCUCACCUAGCGGCGGCCGCCGCCCGCUGGUUCCCUGGCGUCACCCCUUACCCGCGGUUGAUUUGCUCAUGCCGCAGCGUCCUCCGACCCCGACCUGCCUCACGCCGCCACCUCCCCCGACUAUCUGCCUCGCGCCGCCACCUCCCCCGACUAUCUGCCUCGCGCCGCCACCUCCCCCGACUAUCUGCCUCGCGCCACGACGGCCUCUGGCCCUGACCUGCCUGCCGCCGCCACUGCCUCCGAGGGGACACCCCACAGGCUGCAGUGGAGGAGACUCUCCGCCGCCCCUCUUCCACCACCGGCAACGUCUCCCCACCCUCUCUGUCCAACCCAGUUUCCAGAUUUGGCUGCUGCAGAUUUUAUCUUCUUGCUUCAAAAUUGAAAUGUGGCGUUUGCUUGCUGAUAAGUUCGGUUAUGGUGUGGGCGUGUGAGUGCCUAUUACUCAAGAUGAUUUCAUAUCAUAUCAUCAAUUUCAGGAACCUUAUCUCAUCUGUCGUUGAGUUCAGAACAGAUCAUUGGCAUUGUAGCUUCAAGAGACAUGAAUUUGCAGCAGGUCUGAUCCCUUGCCUUAGCUCUCUGCUUCUCCUCACUCCUUAGACCUCCCCUUUGCUUGUCACCAUGCAUUUUAUUCAGAGCAGUGUCCAGAUGCAUCUCCUCUGCCUAGAUGAUGGGGAGAGGGCCUAAGCUAUAGGAAAGGUGAAUCUUAGAGAUUUAUGUUGUAGACUGGUGGCAUGGUGCUUCAACCAGAGUUCAAGGGUAAAACACAUGCAACUCCCCUGCAUGAUUCGAUUUCUUUUUCUAUUGUUAGAGUAUUGCUACAUGUUUAGUAUUCAGCUAAAAGUUUUGUUUUGGAGCUUGGAUUCAAUGCCUCAAACUAUUUCCAAGAUAAGGAUUUGACACAGUUUUACAUGUAGACACAAAGUUAAUGUUUAACUGAAAGUGUCUUUAUUUUUUAAAGGGUUCAAAGUAUUGUUCAGACUACUAAGCCUUCACAUUUUACUGAUCUUUACACUGAAAAGUUGAGUGUUUGAUUUCUGUAUAUUAUAUGCUGUGCAUUUUUUUGUAACUUGUAUACUCUGUUCCAGCAACUCAUCAGUGUCAUUCUAAAAGAUGGUACAUGGAUCCUAGACUUCGGUUGUUAGUGAGUUCUAACAUUUCUAUAAGAAUCCAUUUUUGUGAUAUGAUAGGUGUUGUCCUGACUUUGGUUUAGAUUCCAAUAAGGUUAUCUUCUUAACAAAACUGUUGCAUAAUAACUCCAUGUGUAAAGAAAUAUAAGAUCUUUUAGAUCACUACUUUAGUAAUCUAAAAGAUAUUAUGUUUCUUUACAGAGGGAGUACAAUCUUUUGUGAGAUUAUUGGCUUUAUUUUUUAGAUCUCUUAGUAGAGAAGAAAUGCCUCCUUAUAUGCUUUAUAUUUCAGUUCUUAUAGUGCAGAAAAAAGAUCUGCAUAGUUUUAACUGGAGAGGCCGUGCAAUCAAGUAUUUGUUUACUUUCCUUUUAACCAAGCCAAUAUGUGUACAUCUACUGUUUCUUAGACCUUUGGACUCAAAGACAACUCACAAAUUUGAAAAAUUCUACUAUUUCUAAGAUGGCUGAAACAUAUUAUUAGUUCUUUUGCAGGGACAUGGUAGAAAGUAGAAAAUCCACAAGUUGAUGGAAGAUGUUCUCGCGAUCGCUUUUGUUCAGAACAUGGUUGACACAUUUUGUCAUAUGGAAGUUGGUGUUGGCUUGGCUGCUUUGUACCUAGGAUAUUAGCAAAAAGAAGGGCACAAACGUAUAUAUGGGACAAAUGGCAGAAAGUAAGCCCACAAGAUGAUUUAUGAUGGUCUGGUGAUCACUUUUGUUCAUAACAAGGUCAACACAUUUUGGUCAUAUGGAAGUUGAUGUUGACUUGGUGAUCAAAGACUUGGCCCCUUCCAUAAUUUUUUGUAUUAGUCAAGUGAAUGAACAAUUGGUUCCUUAGGAUAUUGGCCAUCAUAUUUUGUAAGAGGCCACAUCCUAUAUGUCACACUUGUGUAUUUCCUAAAUGGUUGUAGAUAAAUUGAGUGAAGAAAAUUAAUUGAUCUUCUAUAUAUGUUGAAUGAAAGCAUUGACCAAUGGUA